GUGUCAGCAGCCGCGGUAACACGUAGGAUCCGAGCGUUAUCCGAAUUUACUGGGCGUAAAGCGCGUGCAGGCGGUUUGAUAAGUUGGAUGUGAAAGCUCCCGGCUCAACUGGGAGAGGCCGUUCAAAACUAUCAGACUUGAGGGUGGUAGAGGGAAGUGGAAUUCCCGGUGUAGUAGUGAAAUGCGUAGAUAUCGGGAGGAACACCAGUGGCGAAAGCGGCUUCCUAGACCAUUCCUGACGCUCAGACGCGAAAGCUAGGGGAGCGAACGGGAUUAGAUACCCCAGUAGUCC
rnacentral:rRNA from 1 species